AUUGAACGCUGGCGGCAGGCCUAACACAUGCAAGUAGAACGAGUGGCGGACGGGUGAGUAAUGUCUGGGACACUGCCCGAUGGAGGGGGUUACCUACUGGAAACGGUAGCUAAUACCGCAUACCAUCGGAUGUGCCCAGAUGGGAUUAGCUAGUGGGUGGGGUAAAGGCUCACCUAGGCGACGGUCCCUAGCUGGUCUGAGAGGAUGACCAGCCACACUGGAAUUGAGCCACGGUCCAGACUCCUACGGGAGGCGGCAUUGGGGAAUAUUGCACAUUGGGCGCAAGCCGUAUGCAGCCAUGCCGCGUGUAUGAAGAAGUCCUUCGGGUUGUAAACUACUUUCAGCGGGUAGGCGUUACCCGCAGAAGAAGCACCGGCUAACUCCGUGCCAGCAGCCGCGGUAAUAC
rnacentral:rRNA from 1 species